GAUGAACGCUGGCGGCGUGCCUAAUACAUGCAAGUCGAGCGAACGGACGAGAAGCUUGCUUUUCUGAUGUUAGCGGCGGACGGGUGAGUAACACGUGGAUAACCUACCUAUAAGACUGGGAUAACUUCGGGAAACCGGAGCUAAUACCGGAUAAUAUUUUGAACCGCAUGGUUCAAAAGUGAAAGACGGUCUUGCUGUCACUUAUAGAUGGAUCCGCGCUGCAUUAGCUAGUUGGUAAGGUAACGGCUUACCAAGGCAACGAUGCAUAGCCGACCUGAGAGGGUGAUCGGCCACACUGGAACUGAGACACGGUCCAGACUCCUACGGGAGGCAGCAGUAGGGAAUCUUCCUCAAUGGGCGAAAGCCUGACGGAGCAACGCCGCGUGAGUGAUGAAGGUCUUCGGAUCGUAAAACUCUGUUAUUAGGGACGAACAUAUGUGUAAGUAACUGUGCACAUCUUGACGGUACCUAAUCAGAAAGCCACGGCUAACUACGUG
rnacentral:rRNA from 1 species